CACGUAGUUAGCCGGUCCUUCUUCUGUAGGUACCGUCACGUUAGCUUCGUCCCUACUGAAAGCGGUUUACAACCCGAAGGCCGUCAUCCCGCACGCGGCGUUGCUGCAUCGGGCUUGCGCCCAUUGUGCAAUAUUCCCCACUGCUGCCUCCCGUAGGAGUCUGGGCCGUAUCUCAGUCCCAGUGUGGCCGGUCGCCCUCUCAGGCCGGCUACCCGUCGAAGCCUUGGUGAGCCAUUACCUCACCAACAAGCUGAUAGGCCGCGAGCCCAUCCCUGACCGCCGGAGCUUUCCACCUCAAAGCAUGCGCAAAGAGGUCAUAUCCGGUAUUAGCAGCUGUUUCCAGCUGGUAUCCCAAAGUCAAGGGCAGGUUGCUCACGUGUUACUCACCCGUUCGCCACUCGUGUACUCCCGAAGGACGCCUUUACCGUUCGACUUUGCAUGUGUUAAGCACGCCGCCAGCGUUCGUCCUGACGCAGGAUCAAAACUCU
rnacentral:rRNA from 1 species